GGGAUUGCUGGCUUCCUCCCAGGAAGCAGGUAGGAGAGAGGCUGUUCUCUCCAGAUAGAGAGUCAAGGAGACUAGGCACUGGGAGUGCAGAAAGGAAGCAGUCAAGGCUGGCUUGGAGCACUGGGAGUGCAGGAGGAAGCAGUCAGGGCAAGGCUGGCUUGGAGCACUGGGAGUGGAGAAAGAAAAGCAACAGGCUAGCUAGCAGAGUGUUGCUAUCUAAUAAGGUUGGUGCAAUAUGUUUUGUUAGUUUAACCCUGAUAGAGAGGGAUAUUCAAAGUGAGUCAGUGCUCAGACGAGCUAGGUUUUUGUUUAAAGGGAAACCUGUUAUAUUU